UACGAAGGGGGCUAGCGUUGUUCGGAUUUACUGGGCGUAAAGCGCACGUAGGCGGAUCUUUAAGUCAGAGGUGAAAUCCCAAGGCUCAACCUUGGAACUGCCUUUGGUACUGGGGAUCUUGAGUCCGGGAGAGGUGAGUGGAACUGCGAGUGUAGAGGUGAAAUUCGUAGAUAUUCGCAAGAACACCAGUGGCGAAGGCGGCUCACUGGCCCGGUACUGACGCUGAGGUGCGAAAGCGUGGGGAGCAAACAGGG
rnacentral:rRNA from 1 species